UCUAAGUGCAUCCAUGAGUUUCUGUGUCCAACUUUGAUCGUUCGUCCAGUAUUUUUGUUGUUAUGAGAUGAUAAAAUAUGAAUAGUAUUUUAUGUGUGACUCAUGUUUUUAAUUUUUUUUAAAAAAUUUUCAAAUAAGAUGGAUGAUCAAAGUUGGGCACGGAAAACUAUGGUUGCAUUUAAA
rfam:Oryza rufipogon genomic scaffold, chr10